rnacentral:rRNA from 1 species
GAUGAACGCUGGCGGCGUGCCUAAUACAUGCAAGUCGAGCGAACAGACGAGGAGCUUGCUCCUCUGACGUUAGCGGCGGACGGGUGAGUAACACGUGGAUAACCUACCUAUAAGACUGGGAUAACUUCGGGAAACCGGAGCUAAUACCGGAUAACAUGCUGAACCGCAUGGUUCAACAGUGAAAGACGGUCUUGCUGUCACUUAUAGAUGGAUCCGCGCCGCAUUAGCUAGUUGGUAAGGUAACGGCUUACCAAGGCAACGAUGCGUAGCCGACCUGAGAGGGUGAUCGGCCACACUGGAACUGAGACACGGUCCAGACUCCUACGGGAGGCAGCAGUAGGGAAUCUUCCGCAAUGGGCGAAAGCCUGACGGAGCAACGCCGCGUGAGUGAAGAAGGUCUUCGGAUCGUAAAACUCUGUUAUUAGGGAAGAACAAAUGUGUAAGUAACUAUGCACGUCUUGACGGUACCUAAUCAGAAAGCCACGGCUAACUACGUG